CCCUACUAGGAAGCUGGGAGCAGGUAUCAGGCACAGAUUCUUCUAGCCCACAACACCUUGUUCAGCCACACCCCCAAGGGUACUCAGCAGUGAUAGACAUUAAGCUAUAAGUGAAAACUUGACUUAGUUAAAGCUAAGAGGGCCGGUAAAACUCGUGCCAGCCACCGCGGUUAUACGAGUUGGCUCAAGUUGAUAGACGCGGCGUAAAGCGUGGUUAGGGGAAUAACAACUAAAGUCGAAUUGCCUCCUAGCAGUUAUACGCUCACGAGGGCUUAGAAGCACAACCACGAAAGUAGCUUUAACAAACCUGACUCCACGAAAGCUAAGGCACAAACUGGGAUUAGAUACCCCACUAUGCUUAGCCCUAAACAUUGACAACUUUACACACCCGUUGUCCGCCUGGGAACUACGAGCAGCAGCUUGAAAUCCAAAGGACUUGGCGGUGCUUUAGAUCCACCUAGAGGAGCCUGUCCUAGAACCGAUAAUCCCCGUUUAACCUCACCCCCUCUUGCUCUGAUCCGCCUAUAUACCGCCGUCGCAAGCUUACCCUUUGAGGGACUAAUAGUAAGCACAAUCGGCAUUGCCCAAUACGUCAGGUCGAGGUGUAGCGAAUGAGGGGGGAAGAGAUGGGCUACAUUCCCUGACUCAGGGAAUUAC
rnacentral:rRNA from 1 species